rnacentral:rRNA from 1 species
AUGAACGCUAGCUACAGGCUUAACACAUGCAAGUCGAGGGGCAGCAUGGUCUUAGCUUGCUAAGGCCGAUGGCGACCGGCGCACGGGUGAGUAACACGUAUCCAACCUGCCGUCUACUCUUGGACAGCCUUCUGAAAGGAAGAUUAAUACAAGAUGGCAUCAUGAGUCCGCAUGUUCACAUGAUUAAAGGUAUUCCGGUAGACGAUGGGGAUGCGUUCCAUUAGAUAGUAGGCGGGGUAACGGCCCACCUAGUCUUCGAUGGAUAGGGGUUCUGAGAGGAAGGUCCCCCACAUUGGAACUGAGACACGGUCCAAACUCCUACGGGAGGCAGCAGUGAGGAAUAUUGGUCAAUGGGCGAGAGCCUGAACCAGCCAAGUAGCGUGAAGGAUGACUGCCCUAUGGGUUGUAAACUUCUUUUAUAAAGGAAUAAAGUCGGGUAUGCAUACCCGUUUGCAUGUACUUUAUGAAUAAGGAUCGGCUAACUCCGUGCCAGCAGCCGCGGUAAUACGGAGGAUCCGAGCGUUAUCCGGAUUUAUUGGGUUUAAAGGGAGCGUAGAUGGAUGUUUAAGUCAGUUGUGAAAGUUUGCGGCUCAACCGUAAAAUUGCAGUUGAUACUGGAUAUCUUGAGUGCAGUUGAGGCAGGCGGAAUUCGUGGUGUAGCGGUGAAAUGCUUAGAUAUCACGAAGAACUCCGAUUGCGAAGGCAGCCUGCUAAGCUGCAACUGACAUUGAGGCUCGAAAGUGUGGGUAUCAAACAGGAUUAGGUACCCUGGUAGUCCACACGGUAAACGAUGAAUACUCGCUGUUUGCGAUAUACGGCAAGCGGCCAAGCGAAAGCGUUAAGUAUUCCACCUGGGGAGUACGCCGGCAACGGUGAAACUCAAAGGAAUUGACGGGGGCCCGCACAAGCGGAGGAACAUGUGGUUUAAUUCGAUGAUACGCGAGGAACCUUACCCGGGCUUAAAUUGCAGAUGAAUUACGGUGAAAGCCGUAAGCCGCAAGGCAUCUGUGAAGGUGCUGCAUGGUUGUCGUCAGCUCGUGCCGUGAGGUGUCGGCUUAAGUGCCAUAACGAGCGCAACCCUUGUUGUCAGUUACUAACAGGUUCUGCUGAGGACUCUGACAAGACUGCCAUCGUAAGAUGUGAGGAAGGUGGGGAUGACGUCAAAUCAGCACGGCCCUUACGUCCGGGGCUACACACGUGUUACAAUGGGGGGUACAGAGGGUCGCUACCACGCGAGUGGAUGCCAAUCCCAAAAACCUCUCUCAGUUCGGACUGGAGUCUGCAACCCGACUCCACGAAGCUGGAUUCGCUAGUAAUCGCGCAUCAGCCACGGCGCGGUGAAUACGUUCCCGGGCCUUGUACACACCGCCCGUCAAGCCAUGGGAGCCGGGGGUACCUGAAGUGCGUAACCGCGAGGAGCGCCCUAGGGUAAAACUGGUGACUGGGGCU